rnacentral:tRNA from 1 species
AGCAAACUGGUUAGUAUUUUGAAAAAUCGGGCUCAUAACCCGAAGGUCUCAGGUUCGAAUCCUGACCCCGCUACCA